rnacentral:rRNA from 1 species
UACGGAGGGUGCGAGCGUUGUCCGGAAUCAUUGGGCGUAAAGGGCGCGUAGGUGGCCUGGUCAGUUCGUGGUGAAAGCGCGGGGCUCAACCCCGCGUCGGCCAUGAAUACUGCUAGGCUUGAGCACUGUAGAGGCAGGCGGAAUUCCGGGUGUAGCGGUGGAAUGCGUAGAGAUCCGGAAGAACACCGGUGGCGAAGGCGGAUCUCUGGGCCUUGCCUGACGCUGAGGCGCGAAAGCUAGGGGAGCGAACAGG